rnacentral:tRNA from 1 species
AGGGUAAUAGUUAAAAAUAACAUUUAAGUUGCAUUUAAAAAGUAUUGACUAAUAAUCAAUUUACCUUA